rnacentral:lncRNA from 1 species
GGCUGACAUAGCAUGUGACCAGUGUUUGCUUCCCCUUCUGAUUGGUGUAGCACUGUUGGUCACCCCAUGAUCUGGUUGCUUUAAGUAACCCAAGAUGGUAGCCCAGAUCUUGAGGGUAGAGAAAACACAAAUGUGUCUUCAUGCAUGGGCCUGCCUUCCUACAUCCCCAUGGGUCAAGCUAUGCUCACCUGUUCCUUUGUGAUAUUAACCCUUUGCCCUGUUUGGGAUAGAAUAUUCCAUGGAAACGCC